rnacentral:rRNA from 1 species
GACGAACGCUGGCGGCGUGCUUAACACAUGCGAGUCGAACGGAAAGGCCUGCUUUCCCUUGUGGAUUGCGGGUGCUCGAGUGGCGAACGGGUGAGUAACACGUGAGUGAUCUGCCCCCAACUUGGGUAUAAGCCUGGGAAACUGGGUCUAAUUCCCGAUAGGACUGCAGGGUGGUGCCUGUGGUGGAAAACGAUUUUCUAGUGGUUGGGGAUGAGCUCGCGGCCUAUCAGCUUGUUGGUGGGGUAAUGGCCUACCAAGGCGGCGACGGGUAGCCGGCCUGGGAGGGUGGACGGCCACAUUGGGACUGAGAUACGGCCCAGACUCCUACGGGAGGCAGCAGUGGGGAAUAUUGCACAAUGGGCGGAAGCCUGAUGCAGCGACGCCGCGUGGGGGAUGACGGCCUUCGGGUUGUAAACUCCUUUCGACCGCGAGGAAGCCACCUGGUUGGAAGGGUGGUGACGGUAGUGGUAGAAGAAGCACCGGCUAACUACGUG